rnacentral:lncRNA from 1 species
CUUUUCUUUUUCUUUUUCUUCUUUUUUUUAUCUCCUCCUCCUUCCUCCUUCCUCUGUCCUCCUUUCUUCUUCCUGCGUUCUCCUUUUCCUCUCGUUCUUUCUCUCUCUUUCACAGCAAGCAGACGGCACGGGGAGGUGGUGCCGGCGGCAGAGAAGGCCGGUUCUGGCCGAGGGGGCACUGGAUCCGCGCUCUACUGGUCCGGGCAACCUCGUCCCCCUGGGCGACGGCGGCAGGGAGGCAGCCAGCGGGCCUGGCGAC